AUGAGAGGCUGAUCUCUGAAGCAAAGAAGGUGUAGCCUAAAAGAUGAGAAUGUUGAGUCUUUUGUACCUGUUGACAGCCCUUCCUGGUAUCCUGUCCGAGAUACAGCUGCAGGAGUCAGGACCUGGCCUUGUGAAACCCUCACAGUCACUCUCCCUCACCUGUUCUGUCACUGGUUACACCAUUACCAGUGGUUAUGAUUGGAGCUGGAUCCGGAAGUUCCCAGGAAAUAAAAUGGAGUGGAUGGGAUACAUAAGCUACAGUGGUAGCACUAACUACAACCCAUCGCUCAAAAGUCGAAUCUCCAUUACAAGAGACACAUCCAAGAAUCAGUUCUUCCUGCAGUUGACCUCUGUGACUACUGAGGACACAGCCACGUAUUACUGUGCGAGACACAGUGUGGAGUCUUCAGUGUAA